GGGGGGGUGUUGUGUGAGGGGUGGGGGUGGGGGGUAUCUUAGGUGCUCUACACACCCCCUGCAUUGCUGCUGGUGCCUGUGUCUCGUCACCACGGAGCACAUUCUGAGUAAAGGGCUCAGAUUUUAUUUUUGGACUGCUAUGGAGCCCGUCUCUUCCAUUUGUAGGAAGGGGGUAUAGUUGAGCCUGACAUGAGCCGCCUGCUCUGACACACCAGGCUGGGACACGCAGGCAGCAGCCGGCAGCCCCGCGAGCAGCAGUCUCACAGGAGACUGUCUAAAGUGUGCCAUCUGUCAUCUUAUACAAUCAUCAUCUGGUCGGUGGAGCCGCGUAAGAGCCCCACCCCGGGGAGGAUCGCCGGAGGGUUGAUUUACAGGGCAGUGAAAGUGAUGCAGAGUGGGCAGGAACUGAGCGCCAUGACACGGAGAGAGUGAGCAGCUCUUCUUCUCCUGGCGCUCCACCUAAAAUUAGGCCCAGGGACCCAGCAGCCCCGGCCUCCCCCCGACUCUAACCCCAG